CUUCCUGUCUUUGCCUUUUCUCAAUUAAAAAAUACUAAUAUCUUUAAAGAGGUGGAAGUCUCUGAGGAAGGUGUUCCAGAGAGACAAGCUCCUGUUACCAGAAGAACAAUACCACCACCAAAAGUGCCUGAAGCUGCUCAAGAAGGUGUUCCUGCAAAAAGAGUUCCUUCCAAAAAAAGAGAGCCUCCAUCAGUUAAAGGUACAAGUUCCCAUGCCCUCAAAUUCAAGAAGAAAUAGCACUUGUAGUCUUGAAAAUAUUUUGCUGUUCCUUUUGACCUUUGAAACACUAAAUGUUGAAAUACUGAUUUCUUAAAGUGCCCAAGACUCUCCAAGAAAUUGUCCCUGAAAAGAAAACAUACGUGGUUCGUCAUGAAAAGGCUGAAGUCCUUGCUGAUGAAGGUAUAUGUUGCCAGAAGCUUAGAUGUUUGGGAAAAUGUCUUUUCCUAUAUAAAUGUGUUUCCUGUUUGCGUUCAUUCUUGUGACUCCUAAAUGUGAAAAUAUUAAUAUCUUUGAAGUGCCUGAGGUGCCCAUGGAAGUUGUCUGGGAAAAAGUCCAUACUCUCCAGAAGCUUGAAGUUUUAUCUGUCAAAGGUACAUCCUAACAGCCCCUCAGGAGGGAAUAGGGAGGGCUGUGGAAAGAAUUGCCUUGCUAGCCUCUAAAGUGCUGUUGCUAUGUAAACGUGAUUCUUGUCUGUGUUGAUCCUUGUGACUCAAAUGUAAAUUUACUAAUAUCUUCAAAGUGCCUGAGGCUCCCAAAGAGGUUUUCCCUGAAAAGAAAGUGCCUGUGGCACCUCCUAAAAUGCCAGAAGCUCCACCAGUUACAGGUACUUGUCUUGGAUCUUAGGCUUAAGAAGAUAAAACUCAUCUGCUCUUGAAAAUAUUUUGUUCUCGUGGUCCUAUAACUCCUAAAUAUAAAUUUACUCAUCUCUUUUAAGUGCCUGAGGCUCCAAAGGAAGUUGUCCCAGAAAAGAAGCCACCAGUGACACCUCCUAAAAAGCCAGAAGUCCCACCUGCUAAAGUGCCUGAAGCUCCCAAAGAAGUUGUCCCUGAAAAGAAAGUGCCUGUGGUACCUCCUAAAAAGCCAGAAGUGCCACCAGCCAAAGGUAGCUGCCUGCAUGUUGCUGUGUUUGACAAUGUCUGUUUGUCUUCACUCAGUCUAAUCCUGAAAAUACUAAUCUCUUUAAAGUACCCGAGGUGCCAAAGGCAGCUGUGCCAGAAAAGAAGGUGCCUGAAGCUAUUCCUCCCAAACCGGAAAGUCCUCCCCCUGCAGUGCCUGAAGUGCCGCCAGAAGUCAUCCCUGAAAAGAAAGUGCCUGUGGCUCCUCCUAAAAAGCCAGAAGCUCCACCAGCUAAAGGUAUUUAUCCUUCCAUGUUGUGGGUCACCUGUUUGGGGGGCUGGGGUAAGGGUGUUUAGAAGUAUCCGUCAGUUUUAUAAAUGGUAUUUGCUUGGGCAAGUGUGUUGUCGAUAUUCCCAUUUGAUAGUUUCUAACUAA
rnacentral:lncRNA from 1 species